rnacentral:rRNA from 1 species
AGGGCACCACCAGAAGUGGAGUCUGCGGCUUAAUUUGACUCAGCACAGGAAACCUCACCAGGCCCAGACACCGGGAGGAUUGACAGAUUGAGAGCUCUUUCUUGAUUUGGUGGGUGGUGGUACAUGGCCGUUCUUAGUUGGUGAAUGAUCUGUGUUUAAUUCCGAUAACGAACGAGACUCUAGCCUGCUAAUAGUUACAUCCGGUAUCCUCUGUGCUACCGGCGACCACCAAUCUUCUUAGAGGGACAGGUGGCUUCUAGCCGCACGAGAUUGAGCAAUAACAGGUCUGUGAUGCCCUUAGAUAUUCUAGGCCGCACGCGCGCUACACUGAAGGAAUCAGCUUGUCCUCCAUGGCCGAAAGGCCCGGGUAACCCACUGAACCUCCGUUGUGCCAGGGAUUGCGCCUUGCAAUUGUUCCGCAUGAACGAGGAAUUCUCAGUGAGUCGUAAGCUUGCGUUGAUUACGUCCCUGCCCUUUGUAUACACCGCCUGUCGCUGCUACUGAUUGAAUGAUUUUUUA